AUGUCGUUUUCUGUUUUUCUCCUCCAUCAACACCUCUGAAAGUUCCAAAUCUCUCCCCUCCACCACCCUACACAUCAAUGAUCAGACACCAUUCCAAACCCCCUUUCCUGUCUCUUUCCACCAUAGCCACAACCCAAAGUAUCGCCUCCUUCAACCACCACCAGAUGAGCAUCGUAGCCACCACUCUCUCCUCGCCGUGCUGAGUAGACUUUCUUCGCAAGACGCACCUAUAUUCGCCUCUCCUCAGCCGCAAGUGUGGCUGCAAAACCGAAUAACGAAUCUGCAACUUCAAGGUCGGAUUUCGGUCGGAGUUGUUACCGAGAAAGCGAAGGUUGAGUUUCUGGAAGCAGCGGCUAGGGUUGAAUAGAGUUUAAAUAAUCGGAGAUGGUGGAGGUGCUGGUUAUGCCGCCUCCGGCGAUGGUGACGGUGGUGUCGCAGGCGAUCGGGACUCCGAAUGCGGUUGUGAUUGGAGAUGGUCAUGUGGCAGAGGAGUUAUCGGUGGUGGCGAAGGAUUAGUGAUGACAGUUUUUUGAUCGAAGGGAUUUUGCAGUCCACCAGAGAAGGUAACACCAAAAAAGUUCACCCAGCUUGCAAAGCUAGGAUGGGAUCGCAGGUGUCACUUCAAGGUAUUUUUUGGUUUAUUUGACGUGAUGUCGCCGCCGCAACGCGCGGCGCGGGCCAAAAUCUAGUUAUGUA